rnacentral:rRNA from 1 species
AUUGAACGCUGGCGGAAUGCUUUACACAUGCAAGUCGAACGGCAGCACGGACUUCGGUCUGGUGGCGAGUGGCGAACGGGUGAGUAAUAUAUCGGAACGUGCCCAGUCGUGGGGGAUAACGUAGUGAAAAUUACGCUAAUACCGCAUACGAUCUAAGGAUGAAAGCGGGGGAUCGCAAGACCUCGCGCGAUUGGAGCGGCCGAUAUCAGAUUAGGUAGUUGGUGAGGUAAAGGCUCACCAAGCCAACGAUCUGUAGCUGGUCUGAGAGGACGACCAGCCACACUGGAACUGAGACACGGUCCAGACUCCUACGGGAGGCAGCAGUGGGGAAUUUUGGACAAUGGACGCAAGUCUGAUCCAGCCAUUCCGCGUGCAGGACGAAGGCCUCGG